GAGACAGUGCCUGGUGGGUAGUUUGAGUGGGGCGCUCACCUCCUAAAGAGUAACGGAGGUGUUUAUAAGGUUAGCUAGUCCGAUAUGGAAAUUCGGAUGAUAGUGCAAAGGCAUAAGCUAGCUUUACUGCAAGACGUAUAUGUCGCGCUGCAAGAAAUCUUCUUGCACUUAUAUCACAUAAAUUUUCGAAUGGAGUGAUAUUCGAGUUACGAAAGUAGAACUUAGUGAACCGACCAUCCUUUGUAGAAAGGUGGGAGAUCAGCAGAUAAAAGUUACCCCGGGGAUAACAGGCUAGUCUGGCCCAAGCGUCCACAGCGACGGCCAGGUUCGGCACCUCGAUGUCGGCUCGUCUCAUCCUGGGGCUGGAGAAGGUCCCAAGGGUUUGGCUGUUCGCUAAUUAAAGAGGCACGCGAGCUGGGUUCAAACCGUCGUGAGACAGGUUGGUCUCUAUCUUCUGUAGGCGUUGUUACUUGAGAGAAUCUGCCCCUAGUACGAGAGGACCGGGGUGGACAAACCUCUGGUGUACCAGCUGUCGUACCAACGGCACUGCUGGGUAGCUAAGUUUGGUCUGGAUAACCGCUGAAAGCAUCUAAGCGGGAAGCCGUACUCAAGAUUAGGUAACUCAUGCGAUCCUGGAAGACCACCAGGUUGAUAGGUCACAGAUGUAAGCGCAGUAAUGUGUUCAGUCGAGUGAUACUAAUAUCGCUAAAACUCGUCUUU
rnacentral:rRNA from 1 species